CGCUUUUAUUUUGACACGCGCCCAUCCCCCCACAUCUCACGGUCGGAGUCAGUUUCACAGAGCAGCGCAGGAGGACGACAGACACUUAAAGAACAUUAACAGUUUAGUUUGAAUCUCUCUCAGUCAGUCAGGGGGAGAUUAACUGACAGACUGUAUAACGUUACACGUCUUACCAAGAAACCUUUUAAAGUUUAGCACAAAUGUUUCCCGUGGAAGUUUGAAUCUCUCUCAGUCAGUGGGGAGAUUGACUGACAGACUGUCUACUUGCCACCAAACAGUAAUUUACCCUGAAACCUUUUUAAGUAAGGACUAACGUAAACUGACUCUCUGUCUUCUCUCAACCAAACAGUCAUUUAAGACCUUCUAAAGCUUAGCGCAAACGUUUCCUGCGCAAGUUUGAAUCUCUCAGUCAGGGGGGAGAUUGACUGACUGACUGACUGUCUACUCGCCACCAAACGUCAAAAGUCAGUUACACAGAAUCCUUUUAAAGUUUAGCACAAACGUUUCCCGCGCAAGUUUGGAUCUUUACCAUUGAGGGUGGUACCACAUUUAUUUAUGUUGUGAGUAUACCACAGUUCUGUCAGUGGAAAAUGUAUUCAUAUUUUUGUGUUUUCUCACAGAUAAGUAUGAACGUGCCCAGAGCAGUUUUCGAUCUUUACCAUUAAGGAGGCUGACUGACUAUCCUCUACCACCCGUCAUUAACACAACAAAAACUAAAGAAAUGUUACUCCAUAUGGACCUAUUCAUUUACUCAUUAUGCUGUGAGUACACCACAGUUUUAUCAGGGAAAAAAUUUAUAUUUGUGUGUUUCUCACUGCUUGGCAAGGACAGAUGUGGCCCUGUUAAAAAUGUUUAAAUGUCGUUUGGUUUAAGGAACAGCACACUGAUUUUGUUUUAAAAUAUUCCUGUUUGGACAGUCUGUUAAAGCCAUAAAGGAAUACUUGAUAUAUUUCAUAAGUAAAGUGUAAAUGUAGUAUUAGUUUUUAAUGUUGUGAAUUUGGACUGAACAGCACACUUCUGUUUUAUAUCUAAACCUUUUGUAAAAUAAAUGAUUGUUCAAUAAACUGUGUAUUUUAUCUUUUCUGUUAUCAUUUUUUAUACUAAUGUUUAAAAUGUACCUUUACGCUGAACGAUUGGCUAAACCAACACAAAUAUAUUGAGUCAUAUGCACUUAUAAUUUAAAGU